CAGAGGGAGAGAGAGGGAGAGAGAGAGAGAGAGAGAGAAAGAGACAGUGAGGCAGAAAGACACUGUCUGAAAGUUGAGAAGAAUAUCAGCAAACAUGAAAAUCAAUAUCGUUUUGGCCUCUGAAAACUUAGUAUGUGGCAGAAUAACUAAAAGAAAAAAAAAAACAUUUGAUGAAAACAUGACUCUCUCUCAGCUCAAAAGAGAGUGCAGUCUGUGUUUAAGUGUCUUUUCUCUGCCUCAAUAAUGGUAGCCAAGCUGACCAGGUGAAGAUUUAGCAGCCUGUCGCAGAAUUACUCCCCUCUUUCCCCCGCAGUGCUGUAAUCAGGAGGCAGAGGGACAAACAAUAACAGGCAAAGCAAUAACCUGGAAGAAGCAAUAACCCGACCGCUCCACCUUGGGUGUGCAAAGAGUUUAAGAGCGUGUAUGGACAAUAAUCAGACUCUGCUCACAAAAGGGGGUGUAGGCUAUUAAAUAAAACCCCUCUGCCUUUUCCUUGUGUGGGUGGGUUAAAUACUGUGGUGGGUGUCAGCUGCAGUGAAGGAAAGACUGAAAUUCUUGUUCUGAAGUGCACAAGAGCUAACUGGUCUGAUGAGGCUCCAGCCACAGGCCCUGUACAGGGGGGUGGGGGGUUGCCAUGUUCUUCGACAAUUAGGCUUCACAUGUAUUAAAUGAGACAGGAAAGGAAAUGAGGGCAAGGCACUGUUCACUAAAUGAGAUUCUGGACACGACUUACAUUUUCGGUGGUCAGUGUCAGUAAUCCUACUGUUUGAAUUGCUUUAAAACCUUGCAUAAGCAUCAAGGUGAGAAGAUCAAAUUGCAAACCUCCCUCCAAGUGUCUGUUGGACAUCAUCCGGCACUGCAAUGAGUCAGAGAAAGACAGAAAAAGAUGCAAAGUGUCCAACAGUCAGGGGAAGUGAACACCUCUUGGGAACAUAUUUGAUUCAAGCAUCUUCAUCUCCUCCCCAUUGUGGUGUCAGAUUUAGAUUUUCCACUGUGGACUGGAUUUAUUCCUGUUCCCAACAACCUGAAGAUCAUUCAAGAUGACACACCACGCCUCUAGGCAGUUAAGUUUAGAAAAAGAAACUAAAGUGUAAACUAAAGGAUGCUUAAAGAAUCUUCAUGCAAUAUUGUGAUUUUAACCAGUAUAAUUUGACCUACCCAAGAGCCUCUUCACAUACAGAAGUUUGAAUGGCAGAAUAAAGGAGGGCUAGAAAACACACAAAAAGAAACAAAACACUUGCUCUGGGGAAGCGGUGGCUCAUGGUAGUCAUCUGUCUCAUAGUGUGAAUGUGACGUCAGAAAGUAGGGAAAGCGCUUUGUAAACAUCGCCCAUUUACUAUCUUCUGACAUCAACAAUUAUGAACACAGUCAACAAGGAUAGAGUGAAUCAUGAAAGUACUUGAAUUGUGCUCAAGGAUAAAUUACUGCCUUCUGCACUGAUUUCACAUUUGCAUGCAUCAUCUUAUCCUUUCAAUUUGAUGAUCUAUUAAAGAGACAAGAAUCAUGAUCAUUGUGUCUGAUCUGCUGUCACUUCUGCCAGUGCUGGUUCUCACUCCAUCACAUGACUCCACUACAUUUAAAAGAUUAAUAUUGUUCUAUUGACACCACCAUAUGUCUACGUAAGUUCUCAUCGCUCAAUUACUUUACACUGAGGUCAGUUGAUGAAUUUACUUCUCGUUUCAUGAAUCUGAUCAGAAGGGAAAUAAAGUGUGAUAGUGUAGUUGGUUGUGUAGUUUGUCCAAGUGGUGUUGCCAUACCUACUGUGGCACCCAUGACUAUGUUGCACCCAUAUUUGAAUAAUGUUGUUAAAGUCAACAUGAUAUAGCACAUUGUACACCCAUAUACUCUUGAAAGCACUCGUGCAAAACCCAACGCUGUUUUGAGAUUUUAUUUUUUAUUUUUUUUACUCAACUGCUUAAACUAAUGAUUUCUUUGUCUUGAAUUGGAGUAUUAUUGGAUGAAGGGUAGGGGUGUUCUGAUACAACUUUUUUACUUCUGAUAUGAUACAAUAUUGUAGCCUUCAGUAUCGGCCGAUACCGAUAUGGAUCCAAUAUUGGCACAAACUUGUACAUGACAAGUGUUGCACUCAGCUGCCACUCAGCCGACAUCACUCCUACUCCUUGCUACUUCGUUAGUAGCUUAGUACACACAGUCGUUGUGAUCAUGUGGGCUCAGCAUACUGGAUCGAGGCACUGCUAGCUAGAGGUGCCGGAGUGGAGUCUGGAAUGGACUGUUUGUAUUGGAGUGCUGAUAUUGGAGAUUUUAGAUGCAGGUUGAGAGAAUCCGAUAUUUGUUUUUUGGCUGAUAUCUUAUCAGGUCAGUCCUAGUUGAGGGUAUCUAUAAUUUGACCCAAGUGUCUACACUCUGUGUAUGUGGUCGACCACUGGUGAAAAGGGAUUGAGUCCAAGAUAAGACACCAGUUUAAAAAACAAAAAAAACAUCUCUGCUGCCACAUUAAUAGUUUUGAUCAAUACACUGUGAGUAGUUAGCCAGGAUUUAAAUUCUGAGACUUGAAAAUCGCCAGGAAUGCACCUGAGAAAGAAUGGAUCAUGGACUCACCAAAUACUGCAGCCAAAUUGAAUCUGUAAACCGGUGAGAUGUGUUCAUCCUCCUGAAAUAUUUGUGGACUGCAUGGUUCAGGGCUUUAGAGGGUAACGUCCCUCAUAUAAAAUCAGAUCAGAAAACUGCACAUGCUCAUCUGAAGCAGAAAGAUACUGCUGCUAACUUGAUGAGAGAGGAUUCUUUGUAUCAUCUGCUUACAUGCCCUUGAAAAAGCUAUAAAUAUGUGGUGCACCAUCAAUGCAUCCUCAAGUGUUGCUGUUUACUUGUAAAUCUAAUAUACUUUGUUUAAUCUCCCUUUCCACAGUCUAGAAAUAGAGUGCAGUCUGUUGUGCCUGUAUCAACAUUUUCAUAUAUCAUAUACGAUCCUUGAUAUUACCUGCUAGUUUCAAGUUGAAAAGGAAUUAAAAACCAUAAUUAGCUUCGAAUACGGCAGCAGGUCCUUACACUCACUGAGAAAAACUUGAGUUCAUUCACAGUAUGAGGGUCUUCAGAUGAAUACUUUUUUCCUAUGCAUGUCCUUGUUACAUUUAUAAAGGUUACUGAGAAAGAAAUUCUCCUAUAUGGAUCCUGAUUUCUAAGUAUUGUCUGUGCCUUUUCAUGAUUGCAUGAAGAUGUGUGCGUCUACAUUUAUGACCGUGAACAUGUUAAGGAGAACAUGACUUGAGCCUUCUUGUUAGCUAUCCAGAUGAAAUGUCGAGGGCCAAGGACCAGAUGGGUUGAGGUGAUUGAGGAUGUUACCAUGGCAACAAUGGCCCUUUUAUCCAGAGUGAUGAACAGGAGCGCCUUCAUUAUUAAAACAUCAGAGCAAAAUGGGUUUGACAUGGGUUUACAUCAUUGGCAGAAAUGAAAAUGUACCUUAAAAAAAUCACAAAAUUAUAAAGAAAAGACACAUCCUGUCUGAAAAUGAUGCAGAAGAACUGGGUCUGUGGAUUUGUCCCCUCUGUGUCACUCUUAGCUCAAGUACUGGCUGGAACUAAAAAAAGAGAGCUUUUCUAUGUUAGCUUCUCUACUCUGGCUCCACACAAAAGAGAAUUUAAUGCCUCAUUUUGUGGCAUUUUGAUCUUCUUGCUGACUUUUUUUAAAUAUUUAAUGUAGAAAAUCAUAAAACAGGGCUUUUUCUUUAGUGACCCCUUUGUCAACUAACCCCUAAACCAAUUCCAGAAAUAAAUAAAUUACAGUGUAAAAAUAAUUAAUCUUGUUGCUGGUGGUCAUGUUUGCUUUUCUUAAAAAGGCAUCAACAUAAAUUUCAGCCCAUUUCAUUAAAACAAGAGGAGUUUUAAAAUCCUUCUUCUGACCUGUAAAGAUCUUCAUAGUCAGGCACUAUCUGGUCUCAAAGAGUACCCCAUUUCCCCGGUAAAACGUUACCACCCUUGCGUGAAGACCGACUCUUUGUAGCUGAAGCCUCUAAAAGUAGUAGGGGAGGUCGAGCCUUCAGUUAUUAGACCGCUCUCCGCUGAAACAUCAGAGUCAUGGAGGCAGACUGUGCUUUAAGAGUCAGCUUAAAACUUAACUCUGAUUAACCUUAAAGUUACGGCCGGCUCCAACUCUCAGUUUCAUUGCUUUAAGCUUAGACUGGCGAGGGAGCUGACACAUUGAGCUCCUUCGUCUAUAAAUGGUGUUUUUAAUCACUGGUUUAUUGUAUUAUUAUAUAGAAUUUAAACCAUAGAAGCAGUGUGAGCUUCUCAGUUCAAUCUAUCCCUGUGAAAAUGUAAGUCGGUGCUGUUUUUAUCAUUUUUCUUUAAUCUGAUUUUUCUGAUUAUUCUGAUUAUGGUCAAACUUUUAAUCAAAAAAUAUAAUUUCUAUGUUAUAUUUAAAGCUAUUGUCAUGACUUGAAUUCUUCUUCUGUCAAUCCCUUUAUUUUUAGCUGUAACUAUUGAAAUGAGCUCGCCAGAUGGCUCUCCAAAUCCUCCUCAUUCUGUGCCUAUAGCCCCAGUCAUUGUUGUUCUAUACGAUAGCACUGCUGACCUAUACGAAUAGACCAACAACAGCCACCCACCCCCACCCUCACCACCAACACCUCUGUGCCUGCGAUCUGCUGAGUCGACAGGCUGUACAGAGCCACAAAGAGAGAAAGGGCACAGGAGACAGGGGGGGGAGAAGAGCUACACGGCAGGACAGGGGUGAUUUUAGGAUCAGACCUUUUAGGGUGCUCAGCAUGAUAUAGAAAGAGCGUGUGCGCGGUAUAAAACAGCAGCACCAGAUUUGAAUCAAAGUUUAUGUGAAAGAGGAGCUGUUUGUUAAACAGAAAGAGAGGUAGGUUAAAAAUAUCCAGGUAAGCACGAGUGGGGAAAAUGAGUGAUAACCUCCAAUCAGCUUCAUUUAUUGGAUUCAGAGUAAAGUCAAAACCUGACUUCAGGUUUGGUUGUAUUUUUCCUUUUUUUGUCUAUAUAAAAUUACUUAGAUUUAAACAUCAGAUUCUUGUUUGAUUUUUAGGGGUAAUGUUGGUCUUUACCACCAAUAAAAAGAUUUAACUUUGACUUUAUGCUCUGACAAUUUUUGUCUUGUAAGAGACCUUAAAGUUUCCUGUUUUUACCCCCUCUCAGUUCUGUGGAUUUUGCUUUUAUAUCAUUUUUAUUUAACUUAAAAGUUGUAGCCACAUGAGUCACUGAAACCCACAUGAUCUCACCUACAGAUACAGCUCCUUUUUUUAGGAAAGUUCCUGCUCAGGAACACAGAAUAAGAACAUAGAAUGAGCAUAUAUUCAAUACACAGUCUCGUGCCUCCCCCCGUCCCCCCGAGGGCAGAUGACGAUUACGUUUAAAUGGAAACUUAUCCAGGGAAAGUGUCAGGAGUUCAUAUCUAAGUGCUGCAACAUCCACGACUGUAGCCUGGACAUCAUGGGCUCCAUCUGAGUGGAGAGAGGAGCAUGAGUCACACAACCUGUAUGAGCGCAAGUCUCUGUGGACCGGUUACUGACCCUCUGUGUGUGAGAUGGAGUUUGAGUGUAACUGAGCAGGGAAGGAGCCUACAGGUUCACUCUGAUGUGUGCACCAUAUGCAAGGAGCAGCCAUCAUAGGCAGGGGUGAGGAGGUCAUCUUUUCUUCACCACAGCUUCCGUCUUUAAAUGUUACUCUUCAUCACGAUCACCUGAGGAGCCGAAGGGGCCUUUUGUCACUCCCACUACAAAAGUUUCCAUUAGAGGAGGUUAGUCAAAGCUGGCACACGAGCCACGCUGAGGGUUGUGUGUGGGAUUUCAUUCCUUUGAUAAAAAAAACCACAUGGCAAUUUCUUUUCUCUUACAGUGUUUCAGAUCAAAAAUAAAAAUGUCUCUCAUGAAAAGCGCACUCAA